GACCGUAUGGUGUAGCUGGUUAUCACGCAUCCUUCACAUUGGUGCUCGGAUGAGGGCUUCAGUUCGAACCUGAAUGUGGUCA